GGGCACGACACCGGAGAGGGAGCCUGAGAAGCGGCUACCANANCCAAGGAUGGCAGCAGGCGCGCAAAUUACCCAAUCCCGACACGGGGAGGUAGUGACAAUAAAUAACAAUACGGGGUUCUUUCGGAUCUCGUAAUUGGAAUGAGUACAAUUUAAAUCUCUUAACGAGGAACAAUUGGAGGGCAAGUCUGGUGCCAGCAGCCGCGGUAAUUCCAGCUCCAAUAGCGUAUAUUAAAGUUGUUGCAGUUAAAAAGCUCGUAGUUGAAUUUCGGGGUUAGUAGGUUGGUCAUGCCUCUGGUAUGUACUGGUCUCACUGAUUCCUCCUUCCUGAUGAACCGUAAUGCCAUUAAUUUGGUGUUGCGGGGAAUUUGGACUGUUACUUUGAAAAAAUUAGAGUGUUUAAAGCAAGCUAACGCUUGAAUACAUUAGCAUGGAAUAAUGAAAUAGGACGUUCGAUCCUAUUUUGUUGGUUUCUAGGAUUGACGUAAUGAUUAAUAGGGAUAGUUGGGGGCAUUAGUAUUCAAUUGUCAGAGGUGAAAUUCUUGGAUUUAUUGAAGACUAACUACUGCGAAAGCAUUUGCCAAGGAUGUUUUCAUUAAUCAAGAACGAAAGUUAGGGGAUCGAAGACGAUCAGAUACCGUCGUAGUCUUAACCAUAAACUAUGCCGACUAGGGAUCGGAUGAUGUUAAUUUUUUAAUGACUCAUUCGGCGCCUUACGGG
rnacentral:rRNA from 1 species